rnacentral:tRNA from 1 species
GGGGAUUUAGCUCAGUUGGUAGAGCGGCAGAUUGAAGAUCUGCGCGUCAGUGGUUCGACUCCACUAUUCCCCA